rnacentral:rRNA from 1 species
AGCAGUAGCCGCGGGAAUACGUAGGGUGCAAGCGUUAAUCGGAAUUACUGGGCGUAAAGCGUGCGCAGGCGGUUAUAUAAGACAGAUGUGAAAUCCCCGGGCUCAACCUGGGAACUGCAUUUGUGACUGUAUAGCUAGAGUACGGCAGAGGGGGAUGGAAUUCCGCGUGUAGCAGUGAAAUGCGUAGAUAUGCGGAGGAACACCGAUGGCGAAGGCAAUCCCCUGGGCCUGUACUGACGCUCAUGCACGAAAGCGUGGGGAGCAAACAGGAUUAGAUACCCGGGUAGUCCCUGUCUCUUAUAA